rnacentral:lncRNA from 1 species
CAAAACCUUCUUAAGAGGAAGAUUGCAUCUGCAUUUUGAGUUGGGGACUCCUUCGUUGGUGAUGGCGUUGCUGCCUUGUAUGGAGGGGCACAGCCUGGCCUUCUGCAGGACACCUGGCAGCCUUGGGCUGGAUGGAUUCAGCAGUAAUUGAUCUCCGAGCCAGUGAGUGUGCGCAGCACCAGCAAUUUUCAAAAUGCACGGAAUGGCGGCGUGAGGCACCCAAGCUGGCGGAGGAGCUAGGACAGAGCCCCUCUCUGCUGCCUCCCGCUGGAAUCUGGACGGAGCAGGAAAAUUCAGGGGCUGAGAAGUCCCGGCACCCACUGACAUUAGAAUUUCAGACACACAAUCAAUGAUGUUUCAGUCUCGAGAGCUUUCCGUGACAGUCAGUCAGAAGCUUAGAUCCAGCCGGGAAUGGGCUCUGGAAUUUGUGCUGUGUUCCUUGCCUCGCAGACGAUGUUUCGGGGAAGGGUCAUGGGCAUCCAUGGGCUCCUGCACUCCCUGUUGGCCUCCCACUCGUGUCUUGGUUCCGGAGGAGCCCCCUCAUUCACGUGACAGCCUGGAGACCUACCAUGAUCCAACUCCUUUCUCAGGGCGCUCUUUCCCCGGCUGCUGCCUGGAGGCUUGCCCCAAGCUUAGUGGACCAUUUGGAGACAGUACUGCCCGUCUUUUUGACUCCAAGCGAUUCUCUUGCUUCCAAUCUCUGGCUACCUGAGCCAUUCUCAGGAUUGGAUCACCUUUGAUCUUUGAUAUCUUCCUUAUCUCAGAUGAACCCUGUGUUUGCAGUGAAUCCUUGGGUGCUGACAUUUGGGCUGGUGGACAUCCUAGUACAAGGUGAGCCAAUCUCCAAGCCUUAGACUCAGUCCUGACUCUUGUUUUCCCAUCAAGGUUCCAGCAUGUCUGUGGGUUUUGACAAUUCUCAUUGUUUUUUGGGAAACUGAAUGAGGUAGCCAGCCUCCAAGAUGGCACCCAAUGAUUCUUCCCUCCUGACACUCACAUCCUUGUGCAGUUCUUUCCAUGUUGAUGUGGGUAACCAGUACAAUACUGCAACUGAUAGAAUAUUAUGGAAAUGAUGGGGUGUGACUUUGGAGGAUAGGUCAUAAAAGGCAUUGCCACUUAUGCCUUGCUCUCUCUUGGAUCACUUGUUCUGGGGGAUUCCAGAUGUCAUAUCAUGAAAACGGUUAAACAGACCAUGGAGAGGUCUUUGUUGUGAAGAACUGAGGCUGCCAGACAACAAACUGCCAUCUCUGUCCACACCCCAUCUUGGAAUUGGACCCUCCUCCAGCCCUGGUCAAGGAGGCUGCAGAUGACUAUGGCCCGGCCAACAUCUUGACUACAACCUCAUGAGAGACCCUCAGCCAGAACCACCCAGCCCCCAGGUACAUAGUUGCAUAUUCUUCGUUGUGGGUCCUUCUAGUUGUGGCAUGUGGGACGCUGCCUCAGCGUGGCUUGAUGAGCAGUGCCAUGUCCACGCCCAGGAUUCAAACUGACGAAACACUGGGCCGCCUGCAGCGGAGUGCGCGAACUUAACC